rnacentral:rRNA from 1 species
AUGGCCGGGCAGAUGCUCCGCCGGUGGAACAGCUUCUACGGCGCCUUCGACCCCGUGGACGCCGCCAUCGAGGCCGCCGACCCAGACCAGUUCUCACGCCACGUGUUCCGGCGCGCGAGGGGCGACCUGGUGGGACGGCUCUGCAGCGCCGCCGACGACGCCCAGGCGGAGCGCAUCUGCGGGAUUCUCGACGACAUCAUGGCGGAGUCUCUCGAGACGCUGAGGCUGGUUCCAUCCACGCCGGGGGCGCCCAUCUCCGCGGAACUCGCCGACUCCGUGCGCGCGCUGCGGGAGCACGACUCGGAGCGCGUCCGCCUCCUCGCGCGCGGCAUCGUGAGCGGGUGGGAGGCCUCCGUCCAGGACGACGACGGCGCCAAGGUCACACCGGCCAUGCCGGUGAAGAAGCUACCGCAGCCCAAGGCGAGCGUCGGCCAGCAGCAGCAGCGGCGGCGUGUCUCCGCCGACCCUGACGCGAAGACGAAGCGACCUCCCAAGAUCGUCGGCGAGCCAUUGUCCAAGAAGACGGCUGAAAUCAUCAAAAAGGCGUCCGAUCCUGUCGACGGUGACCGCGCCGGGUUCUGCUCGGAGGACAAGAUUGAAGCCGCGAAGCGCAAGCUCCGGCAAGGUUACCAGGAAGCAGAGGACGCCAAACGGCGGCGCAGGACGCAGUUGGUGCAGGCGGCGCCCAAGAUGAUGCAGCGGAUCAGGAGGUGCACCAGCUCCAUGGUGAAGGAAACCUUGUCGAUCAGGACCACGCAGCUUCACAUUAGGUCUCUAGUCAAGAAAAUCCAUAUGUAA